rnacentral:rRNA from 1 species
CCUACGGGAGGCAGCAGUGAGGAAUAUUGGUCAAUGGACGAGAGUCUGAACCAGCCAAGUAGCGUGAAGGAUGACUGCCCUAUGGGUUGUAAACUUCUUUUAUAUGGGAAUAAAAUGUUCCACGUGUGGGAUUUUGUAUGUACCAUAUGAAUAAGGAUCGGCUAACUCCGUGCCAGCAGCUGCGGUAAUACGGAGGAUCCGAGCGUUAUCCGGAUUUAUUGGGUUAAAAGGGAGUGAGGUGGAUUGUUAAGUCAGUUGUGAAAGUUUGCGGCUCAACCGUAAAAUUGCAGUUGAAACUGGCAGUCUUGAGUACAGUAGAGGUGAGCGGAAUUCGUGGUGUAGCGGUGAAAUGCUUAGAUAUUACGAAGAACUCCGAUUGCGAAGGCAGUUCACUGGACUGCAACUGACACUGAGGCUCGAAAGUGUGGGUAUCAAACAGGAUUAGAUACCCUUGUAGUC